rnacentral:rRNA from 1 species
GACGAACGCUGGCGGCGUGCUUAACACAUGCAAGUCGAACGGUGAAGCUCCAGCUUGCUGGAGUGGAUCAGUGGCGAACGGGUGAGUAACACGUGAGCAACCUGCCCCUGACUCUGGAAUAAGCGCUGGAAACGGCGUCUAAUACUGGAUACGAGAAGGGUCCGCAUGGGCACUUUCUGGAAAGUUUUUCGGUUGGGGAUGGGCUCGCGGCCUAUCAGCUUGUUGGUGAGGUAAUGGCUCACCAAGGCGACGACGGGUAGCCGGCCUGAGAGGGCGACCGGCCACACUGGGACUGAGACACGGCCCAGUCUCCUACGGGAGGCAGCAGUGGGGAAUAUUGCACAAUGGGCGAAAGCCUGAUGCAGCGACGCCGCGUGAGGGAUGACGGCCUUCGGGUUGUAAACCUCUUUCAGCAGGGAAGAAGCGAAAGUGACGGUACCUGCAGAAGAAGCACCGGCUAACUACGUG